UCCUAACAGAUUUCAUCAGAAAUUUCCGGAAAAAUCGAAAGAAUUAGAUUCACAUGCAAUUUCACUGCGAGAGCGGCCCUACAAAAUGGAUCAGUUUUUUCAUAAAAUUUGAGAUGGAACAUGGCCUGUUUCCUUGUGAAACAAUAGCUUAUGUUUCAGUUAUGAAAGUACAUCCCUUUCGAGGCAGAACAUUUUUCCGCUUCUGAGAUAUUGAGGCUGAGAAAUUUAAAUCA